GUGGAUACUGGAACUGAAGUGAGAGUAUGUGAUCCCUGUGUGAUCAUGACAGGAGUUUAUGACACAGACAACACUAAAGUGUAUUUAUCUGAUGUGACUGCAGCGCAAACAAAACACACCACAAACCGGCAAAAAGCCACCGUGCUGGGUUGCAGAGCUGCUGCGAUGCAAUUUCAAUUAAAGGUACUUACAAAGUGAGGGGAGAACCUCCUGUCAAACUCACGCUGAGCCAAGAUUCCUCCCUGCCCAGGAGCACUAGUGAAACCAACCU